UAUACCUGCCCUUCAGCAGAGGCAGGAUGGGGCGGUCCUCAUGUGAGGGGCUCUGCACCCACGUCCGGGGCUCUUGUUCCAGGGCAGGGGCAGAGCCGCUCCUCUCUAUCCUGCCGGGCAAGACUCCUUGGUGCUCUUCCAUCGGGCAGAACUGACCAAGACUCAGAACAUUCAAUGUCAGGAGCCAGCUGGGGACAGGAUCUGCCUUGGGAGACUUGGCAGGCCCAGUGACCAUCCCACUGCACAGCUGGGGGUGGGGGCGACACUCCAGAGGGACACGUUCGGGCCUCCUGGGGGGUGCAGGCUUCUGGGCACGUCCACCAGGCAUGCACACCGGCCACCCCACCCUGCUCUCGCUCACCCACAAGGUCUCUGGCAGCCCUUCCGGGAAUGUUUCCAUUUCAUCCUGUGUCCUCCUGUCUCAAACUCCUUUGGGCUGGAGACCCCAGUGGGUCAUCGAGGUGGGGCCAGCUGGACUGUGGACAGCCCCAUGUUUAAAAUCUAGCGUGGAAACUGAGGUGCUCCUAGACCACAGUGGGGUAUCAGGAGGAGGAAGCUGCUCCCCUUCCCCUCCCUGGCUCUGGCCUGGCAGCGUGGAGUGAGUUCCCCUCCCCACCUCCAGCUUCUCCCUCUAGGCAGAGAUGGGUCUUACUGGCACCACACAGACCCCUGGGUAGGUGGGAGAGCAGGUCUUUUUCCUGGGAGGAGGAACUUGGCCUUGGACACACCCACACCGCCCAUGUCACUCCUCAGUUCUUUUUUUUUUUGAGACGGAGUCUCGCUCUGUUGCCCAGGCUGGAGUGCGGUGGCGUGAUCGCUGCUCACUGCAAGCUCCACCUCCCAGGUUCACGCCAUUCUCAUGCCUCAGCCUCCCAAGUAGCUGGGACUACAGGUGCCGGCCACCACGCCCGGCUAAUUUUUUUGUAUUUUUAGUAGAGACGUGGUUUCACCAUGUUAGCCAGGAUGGUCUCGAUUUCCUGACCUUGUGAUCCGCCUGCCUGGGCCUCCCAAAGUGCUGGGAUUACAGGCGUGAGCCACCGCGCCCGGCCUGUCACUCCUCAGUUCUAACUCAUGAAGCAAUCAGGGUUCUUGGGCCCUGUGACCUGGAACCAUUCUGCUGCACCUGCACUGAGGGUUCAAGGACUCCUCACUGUAGGCCACGCCUGGUCCUCUUCUGGUCACCAGCCCGCAAGCAGCAGCUGGGCUGAGGGGACUGGCAGACCUGGGUCCUCAGCUUCCCUGGGCCUUGGUUUCUCCAUCUCCAUCUGCAUCUGAGAGUGACAGGCAGGCGGGCAUCUCGCGCGGGGGGCGGGAGAGCGAGAGCCGCAGAUGCACAGUCCGCUUCCUGGAUGCUGGACCAGGUGGUCCAGUUUUCAAGGCUUGUGUUUUUGGGGGACUCUUGAUCAGAUGGGACCACUCCCCGCAGGCCAUUCUUUGUGGCUGCAGUGGCACUGAGCUCUCUCAGACUCCCUGGCUGCCCAUGACCUCGGGAGCCCACUUCCGUCGGGACCUGCCUCCUCACCUUCCCGUGCCUGUGGUGCUGGUACUGUGUCUGCCCCCUCUUCUGGGGGAUGUCCUCCCACCACCCUGCACAUCACUGCCCUUUUAAAUUCUUUCUGAAAUGGGGUCUCGCUGUCGCCCAGGCUGGAGUGCAGCGGUGUGAUCACAGCUCACUGUAACCUCCGUCUCCUGGACUCAAGCAAUUCUCCCACCUCAGCCUCCCAAGGAACUGGGACUAUAGGUGCGCACCACAAUGCCUGGUUAAUUUUUUAUUUUUUAGAGAUGGGGCCUUGCUAUGUUGCCCAGGCUGGUCUUGAACUCCCGGGUUCAAGCGAUCCUCCUGCCUUGGCCUCCCAAAGUGCUGAGAUUAUGGCGUGAGCCUCUGCGCCCUGCCCCCCACUCUUCUCUUAAUCCCGGGGACGUUUUGACGGCUCUCCCGACAUGGGACGUACGUCCCCAGAGGCGUGUGACCCAGAGCCCUGAUGCCCACACAGCCCUGUGCUGCCCAAUUUGCCCCGCCCCACCUGCCCCACCUUGAUGCUGUCUCAGCAGCUCGUCAGGAUCCAGAACCUGGCUGGAAAGCUGCCAGGCUCCACUGGGCCUGGAGGUGCAAUCCUACGGCCUUGGAAGGGUCUUAGUCUGACCAAGCUGCAGAGCCAGGCAGGUCUGCUGGGUUCUGAGCUCAGACAACUGAUGGCCUCGGACGCCUUGAGGGAAGCUGGGCCAGGCCCAGAAGACUCCCACCCCACCCUGUGGCCCCCCUGGAGGAAGAAGCCGGCCUCUGCGUGUGCAGUAACAGCUUUAAUCUGUGGUGGCCCCUGCCCUCCUGCAUCCAGGCAGGAAGAGCCGUUUCUCGGGGAAUUAAAGCAGGAGCGUUUCCCACACUGUCUCCUGGGAGUCCAUGCUUACAGUGACAGCACUGCUGAGUGGUG
rnacentral:lncRNA from 1 species